CCGGUAGACGUCGAUGGGAGCGAUUACACGCAGAGGGCGCUGCGGUGGGAACCGACGGGAAUAGGCGCGCGCUGCCCCCAAAGAUCGGGAGGCGGCGGAAAUAACCGACCGUAAGGUAGACUACUCAAAAAACACGAAAUGAUUUAGUGUAUGUUAAUCGUACAACCACAAGCAGAAAGCACAAACAUGCUGUAAAGACACUCGAAUUUAAAUUCGGCACGUUUCCUUCUUAAUCUCUACAGUAAUUAAUCCGAAAUGGUAUAAUUCUCAUGAUAUCGUUAUCAUGCCAUAAUAAACCGCAGUGUGUAUAAUUAAUACCUCUAAAAGGCUUGGCGGAAAUUAGUGUUUGACCGCAAGUUCUACCUUUGCAAGAUAGUGCAAAUUGAAGUCUUAACUUCACCAACAGUAUUUGCACGAUAGCAUUAUUUGAGAGUAAUCGUUGACGAGAUUUCUAUUACUGUUAAAGGUCAAACACGAUUACAAUGCACAUGAAUUCGAAUAAAUUCGAAUGAAUUGGAUAUUGGAAUGAAUGAAUAAUAUGAAUGCGCAGUGCUUGAAAAGGCAGUGGAGAAUUACAUCGAAUUGGCACAAACCAGCGGGAGAUUGGCGCAUUAUAAUUGCCUACCUAAUUAAUGCACAAUUGGUUGCCUACAAUACACUCCAUUCAAACUAGCUCGUUCAUUUUUUAACCUCACAUGAAAAGAAAAUAAUCAAUACAAAACAAUAAAACCUGCACACAAUACGCAAAAAUGUAUUGGUAAAAAAGAUUUUAUUUCAAAAAAACUAUUUUCGUUGUGUUUUCGGUUUGAAACUCUAGUUACAUGUCAUUUUUUUUCGCUUGUGACAUAUGCACGUAAAGUUCACCCUCUGUUCAUCAUGUUCAGUCGAAAAAUGUUUUGUUAUCGGAUUAUAUGCGUGUGGGGUGUGUUUUGGGCGUUUGUGUCGCGCUUUUCGCUCGUCCUCUUCUACAUUCCGAACAGUCUGGCAACCCGAAUCGAAUAAAUAUAUAAAAUAACGAAAUCAAUCGCAUUCGAACGCGUUCGCCGUCGUACGAGCUUCAUACGCAUUGUCGUAAACAUCGUAUUGUUUUAUGUGCGAUGCGUUCGCCAUAUUCACAAUUCAAAGAAGAGUAUUUCCACUUCUACUGAACAUUGACAAAAAUAACACUAAAAUCACAUAUUCCAUUCUAGUAUUGCAUUUUUAAUCGGAUUUGCUUGUGCACUUUGGAAAAAUAAACAAAAAUGCAUUAAAAAUGUAUAUUUUUAUUGUGGUUUUAAGUGGUAUCGCAAUUGGCGUUCAUUUUUGUAUAUACAGUAUAUCACAGAGAUGAUUUGUUUCGCUGUCUGUUAUCCACGAGUUUGGCGGUGAUGAUUUGUUUUUCGCUCGAUUUAUCAGCGAUAACAAACGACAGCUAUCGUUGCAAGCAAUAAAUAUGAAUUUGGCGAACAUCUGACCAAUUUUACGCGAGUUUAA